rnacentral:lncRNA from 1 species
GUUUUGUCAAGCUAUUUAUCAUACACUUAAAUUUCCGGAUAAAUAAAAAAAUAAGUCUUAGAUGCAGAAUUGUUUUAUUAAUCGUGGCCACUGUAGACAACUACGACAUCUAUCUGUCGAUAAGGUUUGUUAUUUUCUUUCCAAUGAUUUAUGAUACAGCAUUGCAAAAAUUGUGAUAUUCUGUAAACUGAAAUCGUAUUAGUAGGGUGUCCAGUAAAUCAUAUUCGUUUUAUUGUACCUUCUUAGUUUACUGGUACCUACGUUUGUACUAAUACAUUCGUUCCCAAAAUGUAUCAAUAUGACUUGAGAAUUAUUGAAAACAAUUGAAAAAAAAGAUUUCGAGGAAAUAACAAGCCUAAUUGAGAAAUUGAUGUCGUAGAUGAUUACAGCGGUCUCGAUUUUACUAAAUGCUAUCUGAAAUUUCCUGAAAUAAAAACCAACAAUCG